AAAAAAAAACAUUUCUGGUUUUGAGCUCCUGGUUUGAAUUCACCGUCUCAGAGCGAUGGUUGGUUCAUGUCGGAGCUGAGGUUUUGCCACGUGCAGAAAAGGAAAGUGAGUCAUCAUGCCACAGAAGUGAAUACAAGACAGAACACCACACAAACCUUUCAUUAUUUCAUAAAGCAGCAGAUAGAUUAAACAUGCAUGAUGACAAGCUUGCUUUUGCUUCUUGUAUUAUAGAUAGAGAAAAUACCAAUGAGACUCUUUAUCCUCCCAGGUCACGUCACGCAUUCUUUUAAAAGUCGCUCACGUUAUUACAGCCUGUGAGCAAAAACAGGGAGGCAGUAAAAGUCAAGUCUUAUGUGACACUUAACGUGACUUCUUACUUACGUUUAUUGACACAUGAAAGACGACAACAGAGCACAAUAUACACAUUACAAAUGAUAAUACUGUGCUUGCAAAGCAGCGCUGCAUUUACUGUAACAACAGUUUGUCUAGAGUGCAAGAAAAAUCCGAGUAGAAAUAGCAAAUUUAACAGCACUAUCAAAUACAAAUACAGAAAAACCAUUAGCUUCCCCCAACAAAUACUGCAUAUUUACAAGUAACAGAAGGCCACACAUGGUGUAAACAACUAUUAGAAAAUAGCCCGAUAGCCAAAGUGCAAACGAAACGCCGCUAAGCACGAACAUGAAAAGUGCUUCCUUAUCAGUGUGUGCACAUCCAGAGUCAAGGCGCUAACACUGGCGCAACAUUUAUGAGCCUAUACACUGAGCUACCACAGCAGAUCCUGACGGAGGCAAUAUAUACACAUCAAUUCAGACAAUUACAGACAAGUACAUGUAAUGGCAUUUUGUUUUGUGUGUUUAAUAAAUAUAAGCUUAGUGUUUUUAUUCAACACCACCAUCUAACAUGGGUAAUGUUGCAAUAGCUGUUGAUGACAGAGUUUCAAGUACAGUGAUGAAUAAAUGUAUUUUCUAAAUCAUGACAGCUAUAUUGGAACACAUUUAGCCACCUGAGAUUUGUGAAUCCAAAAGUUUUAACGUGAGCUGUGGAGGAUUGCAUCAAGACACUUGUUUCUGACACAUGGUCUUGUUGCAACCUGCAGUGAAAUGCAAAUAUUAAAGAGGUUUUAUCAUUUCUAAACUGAGGACUAAAGAGAGGCUUUGUUCUGACUUGGCAGUGAUAGAAUAAACCUCUCACACACUCGUACAAACACUACAUUUGACAGAGACAGUGCAUAUUUACAGAGAUGCCCUUGUGUUACUUCUUAUUCAGCACCGCUGAAUGCAAACAACACACAGCUACAAACAUCCUUUAUUGUGAGGGGGUGUUGUGCAAUGAGAAACAGCUUCGACGCACACAUAAUUAUAUUUAUGCUAAGUCUAAAGUCAGUGCUGUUUUAGAAGAGGAGAGACAACGUGGUUAACUCCUCCUGGCAGCAAGGCACAUCAGGCAGGCACACAGGGCAGCAAGUCAAUCUUUUUUUUUUGGGUCAAACUACCAGGUUCCAAAACCGGCUUUCAAAGCUUGACCUCAAUACAUAAAACCCCUAAAUCCUGCAACCUUCUAACACUAAGGGGAGCUGAAAGCCUGCGGGUCAAGACUGAGCGUAGGUUGAUCCUCUUAUGUGACAAAAUGUAUGGAGCUAGCAACAUUAAGUGCUGGCUACGUUUGAU